rnacentral:rRNA from 1 species
UACGUAGGGUGCAAGCGUUGUCCGGAAUUAUUGGGCGUAAAGAGCUCGUAGGCGGUUUGUCGCGUCUGCUGUGAAAUCCCGAGGCUCAACCUCGGGCGUGCAGUGGGUACGGGCAGACUGGAGUGCGGUAGGGGAGAAUGGAAUUCCUGGUGUAGCGGUGGAAUGCGCAGAUAUCAGGAGGAACACCGAUGGCGAAGGCAGGUCUCUGGGCCGUAACUGACGCUGAGGAGCGAAAGCAUGGGGAGCGAACAGG